GUCUCUGUGGUGAAACCGAUUAGCGCGUUCGGCUGUUAACUGAAAGGUUGGUGGUUCAAGCCCACCCAGGAAUG
rnacentral:tRNA from 1 species